AUGGGACUCUCAAGAGUCUCCUCCAGCACCACAAUUCAAAAGCAUCAAUUCUUCGGCGAUCAGCGCUCUUUAUUGAUGCUUUUGAAUUAUGGUGCUGGAGGAGACUCUUGAGAGUCCCAU
rnacentral:miRNA from 1 species